GACGAACGCUGGCGGCGUGCUUAACACAUGCAAGUCGAACGGAAAGGCCCUGCUUUUUUGGGGUGCUCGAGUGGCGAACGGGUGAGUAACACGUGAGUAACCUGCCCUUGACUUUGGGAUAACUUCAGGAAACUGGGGCUAAUACCGGAUAGGAGCUCCUGCUGCAUGGUGGGGGUUGGAAAGUUUCGGCGGUUGGGGAUGGACUCGCGGCUUAUCAGCUUGCUGGUGGGGUAGUGGCUUACCCAGGCUUUGACGGGUAGCCCGCCUGAGAGGGUGACCGGCCACAUUGGGACUGAGAUACGGACCAGAGGCGUACGGGAGGCAGCAGUGGGGAGUCUUGCACAAUGAGCGGAAGUCUGAUGCGGCAACGCCGGGUGCGGAAUGACGGCCUUCGGGUUGUAAACCGCUUUCGCCUGUGACGAAGCGUGAGUGACGGUAAUGGGUAAAGAAGCACCGGCUAACUACGUG
rnacentral:rRNA from 1 species